UGUCCCAUAGUAUAAGGGUAGUACAAGUGAUUUUGGUUCAUUUAGUCUUGGUUCGAAUCCAGGUGGGACAACAA
rnacentral:tRNA from 4 species